rnacentral:rRNA from 1 species
AUUGAACGCUGGCGGCAGGCUUAACACAUGCAAGUCGAGCGGGGUGAUGGUGCUUGCACUAUCACUUAGCGGCGGACGGGUGAGUAAUGCUUAGGAAUCUGCCUAUUAGUGGGGGACAACAUCUCGAAAGGGAUGCUAAUACCGCAUACGUCCUACGGGAGAAAGCAGGGGAUCACUUGUGACCUUGCGCUAAUAGAUGAGCCUAAGUCGGACUAGUUAGUUGGUGGGGUAAAGGCCUACCAAGGCGACGAUCUGUAGCGGGUCUGAGAGGAUGAUCCGCCACACUGGGAAUGAGACACGGCCCAGACUCCUACGGGAGGCAGCAGUGGGGAAUAUUGGACAAUGGGGGGAACCCUGAUCCAGCCAUGCCGCGUGUGUGAAGAAGGCCUUAUGGUUGUAAAGCACGUUAAGCGAGGAGGAGGCUCUUUUGGUUAAUACCCAAGAUGAGUGGACGUUACUCGCAGAAUAAGCACCGGCUAACUCUGUGCCAGCCGCCGCCGUAA